UUACGGUCAAAUCACGCAGAAAAUGCCGGUUCUCGUUCGUUCAUUGAAGUUAAGCAAUGUCGAGUCUGGAUAAUACUGAGAUGGGGACCCGCUUGGGAAUACCGGAUACUGCAAG